ACUGAAAUAGCUCAGUUGGGAGAAGGUUAGACUACAGAUUGAAGAGUCCCUGGUUCGAACCCGGGUUCCGGCA
rnacentral:tRNA from 1 species